UGCAAUGGCAGGCUGAUCCUUAACCUCUGGACCACCAGCAAAGUCAUCCAAAUUUCAAAUAACUGAUCUACGAAGAAAGUUUUGAAACAUAACUUGUUAUAUGCCAGCCAGGAACUCCUUAGGUAUAUAAAUCUUUGUACAAUGAGCUAUGUUGUAAUGGAAAUAUUUUCACAGAUAUAAUUCUUAAUCUAUAGCCAAUAUCAGUCAUUAAAACAUACUGUUCAGUCCUGGGGCCCAUAAGAGUAGGAUGUUACAGAGAAAUUGGAAAGGAGCCAGCGGAGACAAGGAAAAUGAUGGAAGGUUUUGAAAAAUAGCCCUUCAGGGAAAAGUCUACAUUAGUUCAGAGAAGAGAGGUGUGAGUAGACUCAAUAUCAGUCUUCAAACUAUAAAAGGAUGUUACAUUAUUAACACCUAGUCUUUCUUCUGUGCGUUCACAGAGGGAGAUAGGAGAGAAAAUGAGCGUCAGCCACAGCAGGAGGACGUAGGCUGGUCAGAGGUCCCCAGCCUCUGAAGGACAGAAUCCGGUCUCAGGAGACCUCUCCCCUGCUGUCUUUGAAGGAGUAAGCUGCCUUGUCCUGUGCUUCCAUAUGCACCAAGGAGCUGAAGGCAGCCUCCAAGUGAUGGUCAGCAAGAAGAUAAGGUCUUCAGUCUGACAGGCUGCAAGAAACUGAAAUACUCCAAUAGCUCUAUGAGCUUGGAACAGAUCUGACUCCAGUCAGACCUUUGAAGUCUAUAGACAGACAAGGGUGUCCUGCAGAAGCUGGAAUCCUUCAUCAUGGAGCUAAACACAUACGCCUGGCCCAGGAGUCAGGGCAGCUGAAAGGGAAGCCAGAGAAGAAGAGCCGUUGCACGGCCGGAUGCUGCUUCACACCGGCGGGGUGAGUCAGCUCCAAAAUUACUUAUCCAGGCACUGAAAUAUAGCAUCGUGUGGCAAUGGCACCCCACUCCAGUACUCUCGCCUGGAAAAUCCCAUGGACAGAGGAGCCUGGAAGGCUGCAGUCCAUGGGGUCGCUGAGGGUUGGACACGACUGAGUAACUUCACUUUC